rnacentral:rRNA from 1 species
GGUAGUGUGAAAGGGCGUACAGUGGAUGCCUUGGCACAAAAAGGCGAAGAAGGACGUGGUUAGCUGCGAUAAGCUUCGGGGAGCCGCCAGCGGGCUUUGAUCCGGAGAUUUCCGAAUGGGGAAACCCGGCGGGAGUAAUGUCCCGUCAUUGUUAUCUGAAUACAUAGGGUAACAAAGCGCACCCGGCGAAGUGAAACAUCUCAGUAACCGGUGGAAAAGAGACUAAUUAAGCAUUCCCCCAGUAGUGGCGAGCGAACGGGGAGGAGCCUAAACCUGAAAUUUAUUUCAGGGGUUGCAAGACAAUUUUGGUAACUCAGUUACGCUUUAUUUUUUCGAUUAGCUGAAUUUGGCUGGAAAGUCAAACCAUAGAGAGUAAUAGUCUCGUAAGCGAAAAUUGGAAAAAUAAGGUCAAAUUGCUCUUAAGUAGCGCGAUGCCAGUGGAACUUCGCGUGAAUCAGCCGGUACUACUCCGGCAAGGCUAAAUACUUUUUGUGACCGAUAGUGAACUAGUACCGUGAGGGAAAGGCGAAAAGAACCCCUGCAAGGGGAGUGAAAUAGAUCCUGAAACUGUACGCUUACAACGAGUAGGAGUCCCGCCUCGGCGGGAUGACUGCAUGCUUUUUGCAGAACGAGCCGGCGAGUUAUUUUAUAUGGCAAGGUUAACCCGUUUAAAGCGGGGGAGCCGUAGCGAAAGCGAGUCUUAAUAGGGCGAUUAGUCGUAUGAAAUAGACCCGAAACCGAGUGAUCUAUCCAUGGACAGGGUGAAGUAUAGGUAAAACUAUGCGGAGGCCCGAACCCACGAGCUGUGCAAAACUCCGGGAUGAGCUGUGGAUAGGGGAGAAAUUCCAAUCGAACUCGGUAAUAGCUGGUUCUCUCCGAAAUAUCUCUUGGGAUAGCCGUAAGAUAUUUUUGUAAAGAGGUAGAGCUACUGGAUGAGUAAACGUGGUUUCGGCCUAGUUUAUUCAACCAAACUCCGAAUUCUUUUUCAUUAGUCUUACGAGUCAGUCUGUGAGGGCUAAGCUUCAUAGACAAAAGGGAAACAACCCAGAUCACCAGUUAAGGUCCCAAAAUUUUUCUUCCAAAGGAAGAAGCCCCUCUCUUGGUUUUCCAGGAGAACGGGCGCGCUUAGUGGUAAAGGAUGUGAAAUUCCGAAAACAGCUAGGAUGUUGGCUUAGAAGCAGCCACUCAUUCAAAGAGUGCGUAAUAGCUCACUAGUCUAUGGAAUUUUGCGCCGAAGAUAUAACGGGGCUAAGCGCAGUACCGAAACUGUGAAUUUCAUGUUUCGUUCGCGAAACGUGGAGUGGUAGGAGAGCGUUCUCUAUGCGUAGAAGUUUUGUCGCGAGGCAAGGUGGAGCGUAGAGAAGUGAGAAUGCCGGCAUAAGUAGCCGCAAUACCGGUAAAAUCCCGGUACGUCGUAAGUCCAAGGUUUCCUGAGCGAUGUCAAUCAGCUCAGGCUUAGGCGGUCCUAAGGCGAGGCCGAAAGGCGUAGUCGAUGGCCAGUAGGUUAAUAUUCCUACCCUACCUGUUACUUUGCUAAGGAGUGACGGAGUUUAGUAGUUUUCGCAUCUUAUUGGAUUGAUGUCGACUUGGUGAGAAAGUUUUGCAGGCAAAUCCGCAAGACACAUAUUUCAAGCCAAGGCGGGAAGGAAAGCGCAAGCGGACCGAACGAAAAUGAGCAAGCUUCCAGGAAAAGCUUCUAUGAUGGUGACAGGUAUCCGUACCUAAAACCGACACAGGUGGACGAGGCGAGUAGCCUCAGACGAACGGGAGAACCCUUCUUAAGGAACUCGGCAAAACAGCGGUCGUAACUUCGGGAUAAGACCUGCCAGGCCGGGAAACUGGAAGAUGGGGAGAAGAGCAAUUUUUGUUUGUUUUAAAAUAUAUCAAAGGAGGUAGUGAAAUUUUGGAUCGUAAAGUGCAAAUCCGGACAAUCGUUAAACGAAAUUCCGGAGAGAAGAAACUGAUCGCAAUGAUCAACGAGCCAGAGCAUUGUCUUUCGACCUUAAGUUUUAAAGAUGAAGAAUUUUCUAUAAAGCAGGUUUUUUUGCCGGUUAAUUUGGAAAAAUUUUCUAUAAUCUUUAAUAACUUAAUAAAAGCGAAAGCCGAAUUUGGGUCAGCUUUUUGCAGAAAAUGUGCUCGAGAAAAUCUUUCUCGGGAAAAACCACUUAACUGUAGAGGCUGCCAAAUAAAAUUUGGUAGGCUAGAUAUUCCUCCCAUAGAUGGGAUUGUUUUGUUUGUCAAUAAGGACAGGCAGAAAAGAAAAAUAAUUUUUUUCUAUCUCAUGCAAAAUGAGGAAUACCGACGAGUUUCGUAAAGUAAAUUAUUUCCAAAAUUCUUUCAAGCAAACAAAAAAUUGCCGGAAGAAGAGAAUUUUUCUUCCAAUCUUCUUCCCCCUAUCUUCCAGUUUCUCAGGUGCUGGCCGCAGCUAAAGACUCCAAGCGACUGUUUACCAAAAACACAGUUUUCUGCCAACCCGCAAGGGGAUGUAUAGGAACUGACC